rnacentral:rRNA from 1 species
GAUGAACGCUAGCGGCAGGCCUAAUACAUGCAAGUCGAACGAUACCAAUGGGCUUGCUCAUUGGAAAAGUGGCGCACGGGUGCGUAACGCGUAUGCAACCUACCUUAAUCAGGGGGAUAGCCCGAAGAAAUUCGGAUUAACACCGCAUAAAAACACAGGACAGCAUUGUCCAAUGUUCAAAUAUUUAUAGGAUUAAGAUG